GACGAACGCUGGCGGCGUGCUUAACACAUGCAAGUCGAACGGAAAGGCCUGCUUUCCCUUGUGGAUUGCGGGUACUCGAGUGGCGAACGGGUGAGUAACACGUGAGUUAUCUGCCCCCAACUUGGGUAUAAGCCUGGGAAACUGGGUCUAAUUCCCGAUAGCACUGCAGGGUGGUGCCUGUGGUGGAAAACGAUUUUCUAGUGGUUGGGGAUGAGCACGCGGCCUAUCAGCUUGUUGGUGGGGUAAUGUCCUACCAAUGCGGGGACGGGUAGCCGGCCAGGGGGAGUGGGCGGGCGCAUGUGGCCGGAGAUACGGCCACGGCUCCAACGCGAGGAAGCCGUGGGGAAGCAUGAACGAUGAGCGGAAGACAAAGGGAGCAAGGCCGAGUGAGCGAUGCCGGGUUUCGGGUUGUAGACUUCUUUCGACAGCGAGGAAGCCACCUGGUUGGAGGGGUGGUGACGGUAGUGGUAGAAGAAGCACCGGCUAACUACGUG
rnacentral:rRNA from 1 species